GACGAACGCUGGCGGCGUGGAUUAGGCAUGCAAGUCGAACGGUAUAAACCUUUCGGGGUUUAGAGAGUGGCGAACGGGUGAGUAACACGUAGGUAAUCUACCCUCAAAACGGGGACAACCCAGGGAAACUUGGGCUAAUACCGGAUGCGUGCAAACAAUGUUUUGGCUGUUGUAAUUAUUCACGGAAGUGGAUAGUUAUGAGAGUUCAGAGCAUAAUUUGCAUAAAAGGUGGCGUAAGCUGUCGCUUGGGGAUGAGCCUGCGUCCUAUUAGUUAGUUGGUGAGGUAACGGCUCACCUAGGCAAUGAUAGGUAGGCGGCCUUAACGGGUGGUCGCCCACACUGGGAUUGAGAUACGGCCCAGACUCCUACGGGAGGCAGCAGUCGAGAAUAGUCUACAAUGGUCGGAAGACUGAUAGUGCGACGCCGCGUGAACGAUGAAUCCCUUCGGGGUGUAAAGUUCUUUUAUAUGUGAGCAGUGCUUCUUAUAUUAACAGUAUGGGGAGAGAGAUAUUAGC
rnacentral:rRNA from 1 species